AAAGGAGACCUCCAAAGUGGCUUACUCUAAUCACCACCAGAAAUAUUUAUCUCCUCCCUAUCACCAAACCAUAAUAAUCAUGUAGAUUCUAUUUGGACAUCUUGUAUGGCAUGGAAUUUGUUACACAUUGUAAUAGCGAGGGGGGCUUAGAAAGGGAAGGAACAACUGAACAACUCUUUGGGGACUGAAUUCUAUGUGACACUUCCUCUUUCUUUCACUGAGUUGAGCAGUUACUAAUGGAGUCAGUCAGUCCAGAUUUAAGGGCAUGCUUGAAUUUUUAUUAUCUCGCCCAACAGAGUAGUUACAACACAGUGACCAAGCAUUCUCAGUGGUGUUGUUAGAGACGAGUUGACCAGCAUUUUAUUUUUCCUUCCAGGACUUGACACCUAUAGUAGGUGGCCCAUAAGGUAUUCUAAGCCAUUUUAUAUCUCCUAAAAUUCCCUUACUACCUCCUUCUCUCUUAUAUUACAUGAACAAGUGACCCUUGAGAUGGACCUUUGGUUUUAUUCCAUUCCUGUUUUCUCCAUCAGGUAGAGAUUUCUCUAUCAUAGC
rnacentral:lncRNA from 1 species